UACAGAGGGUGCGAGCGUUGUCCGGAAUCACUGGGCGUAAAGGGCGCGUAGGCGGCCUGGUAAGCAGGGGGUGAAAUCCUGCGGCUCAACCGCAGGGCUGCCUUCUAAACUGUCAGGCUGGAGCACGGUAGAGGCAGAUGGAAUUCCCGGUGUAGCGGUGGAAUGCGUAGAGAUCGGGAAGAACACCAGUGGCGAAGGCGGUCUGCUGGGCCGUUGCUGACGCUGAGGCGCGACAGCGUGGGGAGCAAACAGG
rnacentral:rRNA from 1 species